rnacentral:rRNA from 1 species
UGGGGAAUUUUGGACAAUGGGCGAAAGCCUGAUCCAGCAAUGCCGCGUGUGUGAAGAAGGCCUUCGGGUUGUAAAGCACUUUUGUCCGGAAAGAAAUCCUUGGCUCUAAUACAGUCGGGGGAUGACGGUACCGGAAGAAUAAGCACCGGCUAACUACGUGCCAGCAGCCGCGGUAAUACGUAGGGUGCAAGCGUUAAUCGGAAUUACUGGGCGUAAAGCGUGCGCAGGCGGUUUGCUAAGACCGAUGUGAAAUCCCCGGGCUCAACCUGGGAACUGCAUUGGUGACUGGCAGGCUAGAGUAUGGCAGAGGGGGGUAGAAUUCCACGUGUAGCAGUGAAAUGCGUAGAGAUGUGGAGGAAUACCGAUGGCGAAGGCAGCCCCCUGGGCCAAUACUGACGCUCAUGCACGAAAGCGUGGGGAGCAAACAGGAUUAGAUACCCUGGUAGUCCACGCCCUAAACGAUGUCAACUAGUUGUUGGGGAUUCAUUUCCUUAGUAACGUAGCUAACGCGUGAAGUUGACCGCCUGGGGAGUACGUCGCAAGAUUAAAACUCAAAUGAAUUGACGGGGUCAUAGCUG